AUCCAUCCCUCCUGCUGGGGCCUUUCUCUCUUUCCCUCCUCCCCCCAUAUCCCGCUCUGCCACCGCCGCCCCAUAUCCCGCUCUGCCACCGCCCCUACUGCUCCACCGAACCGACCUCUUCUUCGAGCGUGAGCCGCUCCUCUCCCUGAAGCCCUCGUACGCACUAGGGUUUCGUGCGCCGCCGCCGCCGCCGGUCCUCUCCAACACUGCGACGGGCUUCAUGGCCUACUUCGGCCUCGGGCCUUAAUGCUUCCUCUGCUUCUGCGUCGGCCGGCUAUUCAGCGAGGAGGACGUACAUCAGGCAGCGGGUGACGCGCGGUGGCUGCGCAAAUUCCUCUGCGGCGGAGAUCUCCAGGAUGGGUGCUUGUCUUCUCGGAAGAAGGAGAUGAUGAAGGAUGCAGAGAAGGAAGGCAACGUGGAAGGCAACGUGGUGUGUUCUUGAUGAUGAUCGAAGAAGAUCUGCUGGCUGCUGUUCAAGGGACGAUAGCCAAAGAAGAAGAAGAUGAUUGCUAUGUUCUGCUAGAUCAGGAUUCUGGAAGACCACGAAGAGGAAUAAGACAAGCAGGCACAUGUGUAUCAUCACGAGCAGCAAAACGAAGAGUAAACCCAAGAAUAUCAAGGGGGGAUUAUGUUGGCUGCCGUGGAGGACGAGAUGCAAGGGUGCUCGGGCAGCGGCUGCAGCAGCGUGACAGAUCAAGCGAGCUAGGUUGUGCCAUCUCUGGUCCUCUCUCUUCAAACGGUCGACACCGGGUGCUUACGAUCGACGUGACGGCGGCGGUGCAAGAGCAUGGCGUAGCUGGUCUGAGAGUGGCGAUGGACUCACUGCCCGCUGCUACUAUAUUCAUCCAAAGUAGUGGCAGGGUGCAGCAGCACGAACGGCUCAGCCUCUACCUUGUUCAUCCCAUUACCACGGAGGCGCUUUAAUUACUGACACAUCUGUUCUUAUUAUGCAACUGCAGGUGAUUUCUCAUCUUUCAACUCGGUCUAUUUUACUCGUCAUACAUGGAGAGAGUUUAUACAAUGUUAGAUGAAGAGUUGGCGGUGCCACGGUGCCAAGGUUUGCUUCUCAAAACUGAUAAGAUCACAUGAUGCUUUUAUAUGCUUAUUAUUAAAUCACAGGCAAAUAACCCACUUCAACCUGCGUGAUAAUUAUGUAGUGAACAGAGCUUUUGUGUAAAUAAACUACCCAACUUUGUCAAGUGAGUUAAUGGAGCAAGUCUUUAAUUUGUAAUUAGCUGUUGUUCAGAAUUGAACUAGCGCUUCAUACAGAACAAUUUUGAGAGCAACUCCCCACAAAAAAAAUACAUCAACUAUAAUUGUUGGAAUCCUGAAGGUAGUUCCAUCGAAGUUUGUGAGUAUAUUUGCAAACCUCUGUCUACCUAUGAAUACUAUUAUCGAGAUAGUUUAAACCAUGUUGUUGGCCUGCUACAAUGCUCAAUGGUUUACCCUUGCUCAGAUCAAUUCUGGUGUGUUUGUAGUGGGAAUGUGGGAUGAUGUAUGAAGAGAUAAAGAAAAUUAUGCUCGCGGAAUAUGAGUAUGUAGUAACAGUUCUCUGUUAUGGUUCGCGACAAUUGUUCUGGUACAUCUCAUUGGUAGUUUAUAUGUAAUGCAAUGCCGUUUUAUAAUUAUCAUGCUAAAAAGUAAUGUUACAUUAGACAUUUCAACAUAAAUGAGAUGGACAACUGAGCCCACAAUAUAUAACUAUGUAUAUUGGGACACAACGUUUUGCCUCUGUGUCCAGAUGAGCCGGUCAUUCGUCAGUUGGAAUCCGCGCCAAAGAGUUUCAGUGGUGUUGGUGUUCGCCAGUAGUCCAGUACAUCGAGUAUAGAACAACCGUGUAUGCUGCAGGUGGUUACGGCGUACAGCGGAACUGACAGAACUAUUUUGAAUCUCGGUGGCUCUGUAUCAGGGUCUUCCUGUACUGACGGUUGAAAGAUUUCCAUGUGAAUUGCCUGAGAUGGUUAGUGAUAGUGAAAGUUAUGAUGACAGAUAAUUACUCCUCCAAGAAGAAGAAUCAGAAGAGUGGUAAGGUGACAUGGGCCGCGUCUGUCGGUGGCUGAGGAAAGGCGGUUCGAGCCUGACGUGGUCGUCGAUGAGGAGCUUCUGGAUGUCACCGGCGCCGGCAAUCCUCGAGGGCAAAGGCUGUGACAAGCGGCGGCGGCGGUGCUUGGGCAGCAACAAUCCGAGCAUGAUGAGGUCAGAGUUCGCUAUCAAAUCCGCUACAUUUAUCUUGGAUCCAUGCCCAGCGUCUCAAACUGGCUAGCAAUUUAUUCAAAGGAUGGGCGAAAUCACGUCACCUCAGCUUGCGAUGCAUUUGCCUGCUAGGAAUUGGGAUCGAUCCAUUCUUUGCUCCGUUUCUAUUCAGAUUUUCAUGUCUUGAUUGAUUUUGCAAAUUUUCCUCUUUGUAGCCACCGCGUGAAAUGAACCUAGCAUUGUGCAUGGUCGCAGGAGUCUCUGCAAGUUACUUGCUUGUUGAUUCUGCAUAUUGGAAUAAUAAGUAACUACUUUGUGAAGUUCUUCUAAUUUCGAAUGUUAUAGACAGCUAGAAAGACAGCCCAUUGUACAAGUUGUCUAUAUCGAUAUCUAGAGAUGAUAUGGAGAGCCGCUACAGAUAGAUACUAUCUAGACUAUUGUACUUGCCCUUAUUGCUGCAGGUCGAAGGCGUCGUGGUGGUGCAUUGGAGCUGGAGGAGGCGGCGGGCCAGUGUUGUUUGUGCUCAAGACGUACGAGAUGGUGGACAGCCCAUCGACGGAAGCAGCGGUCUGGUGGAGUGACGCGUUGGACACGGCCUUCAUGGUUUGGUGCUUGCUGGAGUUUGCAUCUUCAAGCACAGAAAUUUCUCCAGUUUCAUCCAUGAGCCCCCCCCCCCCCCCACCCCCUCUCUUACUGAAUCCCUACGCACCCCAAGCAAUCUCGGUCAAGUUUGUGCGGAUUUGGGGUUUAAGAUCUGUGCAUGUGCGGGGAAUUUAUUAGUAGGAGUUGGGUUGGGUUUUAUUUGUCAGAUUUACUGGAGUUGGCAUUAGAUUUUGAUCUUGGGUGGGGGCGAGGGUCCUCAAAUGUCUACACUGUUGUGGUGAAAUGCUACUCCAUUUUUACUAAAAAUCAUUUAGGAUGCUGAUUUUCUUAGUUGGUCUUGAUUGCAGUUAAAUGCCAAAAAUCAGGACUCGGUAUGGUGCCAAAAUAUGUUCAUAAUUUUGUGCGCUGGGCUGGUGGGAUGCUAUGUGAAUCACUACAUUCUUACUCCUUUGGUUCGCCGGAGGUUCGGAUUGCAUUGACCACAUUCAGAUUUUUCCUAGAGAUUCGGGCCGGCAACCAAAGAUGUCCAGCCUUGAUGGCUUGUGAUAUAUUAUCAUGUUUAGGAUAGACGAAAAUAAGAUUGCAAAGGUACAUUCUUUUCCUGCAUAAACUAAAUAGUGUUACAAAUGGUGAUAAACAUGGGUAGUUUUCACUUCUUUAUUACUGCUGAAUCAUGACAUAAAAUGCAUGUUUCUUGUUGUAUACCUUCAGUGUGGAUUAUUACGUGAUGUACCUUGUCAUUAACUUUCUUUAUUUAGGACUAAUUUUGUUUCAUAUUCAUACUAAAACUUUUCUCAGGAUACUAAAAUUUACCCUUGCACUCAAUUUUUCUAGAGCUAAUAAAAUAUCUCGUUUUAGUGAAAUUUGACU